UACGAACGCUGGCGGCGUGCUUAACACAUGCAAGUCGAACGGAAAGGCCCUGCUUUUGUGGGGUGCUCGAGUGGCGAACGGGUGAGUAACACGUGAGUAACCUGCCCUUGACUUUGGGAUAACUUCAGGAAACUGGGGCUAAUACCGGAUAGGAGCUCCUGCUGCAUGGUGGGGGUUGGAAAGUGUCGGCGGUUGGGGAUGGACUCGCGGCUUAUCAGCUUGUUGGUGGGGUAGUGGCUUACCAAGGCUUUGACGGGUAGCCGGCCUGAGAGGGUGACCGGCCACAUUGGGACUGAGAUACGGCCGAGACUCCUACGGGAGGCAGAAGUGGGGAAUAUUGCACAAUGGGCGGAAGCCUGAUGCAGCAACGCCGCGUGCGGGAUGACGGCCUUCGGGUUGUAAACCGCUUUCGCCUGUGACGAAGCGUGAGUGACGGUAAUGGGUAAAGAAGCACCGGCUAACUACGUG
rnacentral:rRNA from 1 species